ACUUAUUAAACCAAAACCCACCCGAAUUCCUCAUUCUUCUUCGUGCAGCUAGGGCUCCAAAGUUCCUCCCUUUUUUAUUCCUCUUCUUUCUUUCUUCAUCUUCAAUAUUCCCUCUUCUUUCUCAUGCUAGAUUCUCGGAUUAAAGUACGUAUUUAUAAUUUUUGGUGUGUAAAGUUUUAGGGUUUUGAAAUUUUUGGUAACUGUAAAAUAUAUAUUUUUUUUGUUUGACUUUUAUCUAAUAAAAAAUAGAAUCUCUGAGUGCUUUUAGGCUUCUUUUUUUUUAUAGUUUAUUGUAUGUAAAAUAUAUAAAAAUUAUGGUGGUGGGAUUUUUAUUUCAAUAAAUUAUCGUCUUUUGUUUAUCUUAUGCCAUUGAUUCUUGUAUAUAUUAAUGCUUUGAAUAUAACUUAACGUGCUCUCUUUUUUGUGUUUGAUGUCGCAUGUGGUAUUUGAAGAAUGGUUGAAAAAAUAGAUUUGAUUUGUAAUUAUGGGGGUCAGUGGGUAAGGAAACCACAACUAGUGUAUAGUAAAAAACUUAUUCACGUGUGGAGAAGUUACUAAACAAUUUUUUUGUCUUACAUUGAUAUUUGUAAAGAAUUCAAGAGUGAGAAGUUUGGGUUGAUUGAGGUGAAGCAACUUUUAGUGAUUGAACCAUCUGGUAGAUAUUAUGUGGUCGUAGGGGAAGAAGGUGUUAGAGCUCUCCAUAGUUUACUUUCAGAUCAGUUCUAUAUUUUGAACUUAUUUGCGGUAGACAAAUAUGAAGAAGAUAUCGUGUCUUUUCGAACAUUAUUCACUUCCAUGAGUCUUAUAAUUUUAAUGUAGAACUUGGAGAAGAUUGUGAUAGUAGUGAGGAGCGUGUAGAUAAUAAUUCAUUGUCUAGUGAAGAAGAUGAUAGAGAAGAAAGGUUGGAAGAGGAGAGUGUAGAUAAUAAUUCAUUGUCUAGUGAAGAAGAUGAUAGAGAAGAAAGGUUGGAAGAGGAGAGUGUAGAUAAUAAUUCAUUGUCUAGUGAAGAAGAUGAUAGAGAAGAAAGGUUGGAAGAGGAGAGUGUAGAUAAUAAUUCAUUGUCUAGUGAAGAAGAUGAUAGAGAAGAAAGGUUGGAAGUAUUCAAAAAGCAAAGGAGACUUGGUAUCACUGAAAAGCUUGAAGAGUACAAGGUCUUAGAGAAAGGUAUGUCCUUUAAAGACCUACCCGAAGCUAAACAAGUUGUUGGUUUGUAUGUUGUUUCAAAUAAAAAGGGAUUAUAGGUAUAAAAAAAAAUGAUACAGGUAGAGUUACAUAUGGUUGUGAUGAGGGUUGUCCAUUUUAUUGUCAUAUUUCCAAGGAUGGGAAUGAUCAAGAUUUUAAGAUCAAGACUUUAAAUUUAAUACACGAUUGUGAUGAUGCAUAUGAAAAUAAAAGAGCAUCAACUGAUACUUUAGCACAAUACUUUAGAAGAAAAAUUCAGAACAAUACUAAGUAUAAGAUAAAAGAAAUGAAGGACGAGUUGGAGACACAAUUUAAACUUAAUGUGAGUAAGUCAAAGCUGAAAAGGUUAAAAGGCUUGCUUUGGAGAAAUUGGAGGGUAGUUACUUGGAUGAUUACAAUAGGUUGGAGGGAUAUGCACAAGAAUUGAGAAGGAUCAAUCCUAGUUUUGACAUGGUGAUUAAUAUAAACAAAGAUGCUUUGGCAGAAGGUAAGAGGAGAUUUUUAAUGAUGUAUGUGUGCUUCCAAGCUUUAAAAUGUGGCUGGAGAGAAGGUUUGAGACCUUUGAUGGAUGGUACAUUUCUGAAAGGAAAAUGCAUGGGACAAUUGUUAGUGGUUGUCGGCCAAGAUUCAGUCAAGCAUGUUUACCCACUUGCUUGGGCAGUGGUUGAUAAAGAAACAAGUAGAACAUGGACUUAGUUUAUGGAGUUGCUGAAACAGUCUUUGGACUUGAAGGAUGGUGAUUGAGUAACUUUUAUGUUAGAUAUGCAAAAGAGCUUGUUGGAUGCUGUCAGUAAAGUUUGUCCACAUGCCAAUCACAGAUUUUGUGUGAGACAUGUUGAAUCUAAUUGGAGCGAAAUUUGGAAUGGUGAUGAAAUGAAAAAGUUUCUAUGGUGGUGUGCUUGGAGUACAUAUGAAGAAGAAUUCAAGGAUCAAUUGAAGAAGUUGGGUGAAGUCUCAAAGGAAGCUGCUAAGAGGUUAUUAUGUUAUCCACCAACAAACUGGUGUAGAGCAUAUUUUGACACCCUAUGUAAAAAUAUGAUGAUGGACAACAACUUCACAAAAUCCUUUAACUCAUGAAUUCUAAAAGUUAUGAAUAUUUUAAGGGAUCAUGAAGCAUAAGCUAUGGGUUGGAAAGGUGAUAUUAGUCCACAUGCCAUGCAGAUUUACAGUGAUUACAGGAGGAUAACUUUAGAAUGCAAGGUUGAAUUUAAUGGGGAGAGGGGCUAUAAAGUCGCUGAUGGUGGAGAUAGUCACACAAUGAGUAUAGAGCUAAAGAGGUGUACUUGCAGGGCAUGGGACUUGUAUGGAAUCCCAUGUCCUCAUGCAAUAAAAGUACUCAUGCACAAAACAAUUAACCCCCUACUGAAAUUCAUUGGUGGUAUUCUAAGGAGGCUUACAUGUUGGUUUAUAAACACAAGCUUCAACUUGUUAUGGGGAAGAGGUUCUAGAAAGUGGAGCCACAACAUGCCAUGGCACCACCACCUUUAUCUAAGAUGGUUGGUAGGCCAAAGGUGAAGAGAACAAGAGAAAAGAGUGAGGGUAGUAAUAGGUCAAAGGCUAUGGUCAGCUUCAAGGAGAGGACUUAGAAUGAGUUGUGGUUGUUGUAGUGCACCAGACCACAAUAUAAGGAGAUGUCCACUGGUCGAAGACAAGAAUAAGACUAACUUCCAUGAAGAACAAAACUCCCAAUCAGUAGAAGAUGUCCACAUGACAGUACCUCAAGAUACUCAACAAUCAGAAUUUAUUUUCAUUCCAGUUCCUGAUUUGAAUUUGUAACGACUCAACCGGUCGUUUUGAGAUCUAGCGCAUCGUUCAGCGGUUUGAGGCCCUGAGUAGCUUCACUUCAGGUAUUAUGACUUGUACGUGUGGUCGGAAUUGAAUUUCGGGAAGUUCGGAGUUGAUUUGGAAAGAAAAUUCUAAUUUCGGAAGCCUUAAAGUUGGAAAAAUUGACUAAGGUUUGACUUUUGAGUAAAGACCUCAGAUCUCCCUCGGCAGUGUACACAUAGGUUCGUAUGAUGAUUUCGGAC